rnacentral:rRNA from 1 species
UACAUGGGGUGCAAACGUUGCUCGGAAUUAUUGGGCGUAAAGCGCGCGUAGGCGGUUAUCUAAGUCGGAUGUGAAAGCCCUCGGCUUAACUGAGGAAGUGCACCCGAAACUGGAUAGCUAGAGUACGAAAGAGGGUCGCGGAAUUCCCGGUGUAGUGGUGAAAUUCGUAGAUAUCGGGAGGAACACCGGUGGCGAAGGCGGCGACCUGGGUCGAGACUGACGCUGAGGCGCGAAAGCGUGGGGAGCAAACAGG